rnacentral:tRNA from 1 species
GGAGAGCUGUCCGAGUGGUCGAUGGUGAUUGACUUGAAAUCAAUUGGGUGUCAAAGCCCCGGGGGUUCGAAUCCCUCGCUCUCCGCCA